UACGUAGGGGGCAAGCGUUAUCCGGAUUUACUGGGUGUAAAGGGAGCGUAGACGGCUUAGCAAGUCUGAAGUGAAAGCCCGCGGCUCAACUGCGGGACUGCUUUGGAAACUGUGUUGCUGGAGUGCCGGAGAGGUAAGUGGAAUUCCUAGUGUAGCGGUGAAAUGCGUAGAUAUUAGGAGGAACACCAGUGGCGAAGGCGGCUUACUGGACGGUAACUGACGUUGAGGCUCGAAAGCGUGGGGAGCAAACAGG
rnacentral:rRNA from 1 species